rnacentral:rRNA from 1 species
CAGCCGCCACGGUAAUACGUAGGUGGCAAGCGUUGUCCGGAAUUAUUGGGCGUAAAGCGCGCGCAGGCGGCUUCCCAAGUCCCUCUUAAAAGUGCGGGGCUUAACCCCGUGAUGGGAAGGAAACUGGGAAGCUAGAGUACCGGAGAGGAAAGUGGAAUUCCUAGUGUAGCGGUGAAAUGUGUAGAGAUUAGGAAGAACACCGGUGGCGAAGGCGACUUUCUGGACGAAAACUGACGCUGAGGCGCGAAAGCGUGGGGAGCAAACAGGAUUAGAUACCCCUGUAGUCCCUGUCUCUUAUACA